GGUGAAGCCCAGCUUGCUGGGUGGAUCAGUGGCGAACGGGUGAGUAACACGUGAGCAACCUGCCCUCCACUUCGGGAUAAGCCUUGGAAACGGGGUCUAAUACCGGAUAUGAGCUCGCAUCGCAUGGUGUGGGUUGGAAAGUUUUUCGGUGGGGGAUGGGCUCGCGGCCUAUCAGCUUGUUGGUGGGGUGAUGGCCUACCAAGGCGUCGACGGGUAGCCGGCCUGAGAGGGCGACCGGCCACACUGGGACUGAGACACGGCCCAGACUCCUACGGGAGGCAGCAGUGGGGAAUAUUGCACAAUGGGCGCAAGCCUGAUGCAGCGACGCCGCGUGAGGGAUGACGGCCUUCGGGUUGUAAACCUCGUUCAGCAGGGAAGAAGCGCAAGUGACGGUACCUGCAGAAGAAGCGCCGGCUAACUACGUGCCAGCAGCCGCGGUAAUACGUAGGGCGCAAGCGUUGUCCGGAAUUAUUGGGCGUAAAGAGCUCGUAGGCGGUCUGUCGCGUCUGGUGUGAAAUCCCGAGGCUCAACCUCGGGCUUGCAUCGGGUACGGGCAGACUAGAGUGCGGUAGGGGAGACUGGAAUUCCUGGUGUAGCGGUGGAAUGCGCAGAUAUCAGGAGGAACACCGAUGGCGAAGGCAGGUCUCUGGGCCGCAACUGACGCUGAGGAGCGAAAGCAUGGGGAGCGAACAGGAUUAGAUACCCUGGUAGUCCAUGCCGUAAACGUUGGGCACUAGGUGUGGGGCUCAUUCCACGAGUUCCGUGCCGCAGCUAACGCAUUAAGUGCCCCGCCUGGGGAGUACGGCCGCAAGGCUAAAACUCAAAGGAAUUGACGGGGGCCCGCACAAGCGGCGGAGCAUGCGGAUUAAUUCGAUGCAACGCGAAGAACCUUACCAAGGCUUGACAUGUACGAGAAAGCCCCCGAGACGGGGUUCUCUUUGGACACUCGUACACAGGUGGUGCAUGGUUGUCGUCAGCUCGUGUCGUGAGAUGUUGGGUUAAGUCCCGCAACGAGCGCAACCCUCGUCCUAUGUUGCCAGCGGGUUAUGCCGGGGACUCAUGGGAGACUGCCGGGGUCAACUCGGAGGAAGGUGGGGAUGACGUCAAAUCAUCAUGCCCCUUAUGUCUUGGGCUUCACGCAUGCUACAAUGGCCGGUACAGAGGGCUGCGAUACCGUAAGGUGGAGCGAAUCCCAAAAAGCCGGUCUCAGUUCGGAUUGGGGUCUGCAACUCGACCCCAUGAAGUCGGAG
rnacentral:rRNA from 1 species